GACGAACCGUGCGAACGUUGUUCGGAAUCACUGGCUUAAAGGGCGCGUAGGCGGCCCGCCAAGUCCGGGGUGAAAUCCUCCCGCCCAACGGGAGAAGUGCCUUGGAUACUGGCGGCUCGAGCGGGGUAGGGCAUGUGGAACUUCCGGUGGAGCGGUGAAAUGCGUAGAUAUCGGAAGGAACGCCGGUGGCGAAAGCGACGUGCUGGACCCCCCUGACGCUGAGGCGCCGAAAGCCAGGGGAGCGAACGGG
rnacentral:rRNA from 1 species